UACGUAGGGGGCGAGCGUUAUCCGGAAUUAUUGGGCGUAAAGAGCGCGCAGGUGGUUGAUUAAGUCUGAUGUGAAAGCCCACGGCUUAACCGUGGAGGGUCAUUGGAAACUGGUCGACUUGAGUGCAGAAGAGGGAAGUGGAAUUCCAUGUGUAGCGGUGAAAUGCGUAGAGAUAUGGAGGAACACCAGUGGCGAAGGCGGCUUCCUGGUCUGUAACUGACACUGAGGCGCGAAAGCGUGGGGAGCAAACAGG
rnacentral:rRNA from 1 species